CCUCCCAGUACUCUCCUCAUAUAUUCCGCCGUGGCGACGCCCUCUGCGUCCCUGCACGCGUCUCUAUGGCAACCGUAGUCGCCACGCGUUGCCGGCGCCCGGCACAGCUCCCACGCCUCUGGUUUGGAGGGCACCACCCAGCGUCUCAGCAUGCGCUGCUGCCGGCUUGGGCAUGACGGUGCUGCUCCGCCUCGGCUACCUUGUGUCGACGGUCAAUCAGGAUUGCAGGUUGGAUCUGAAACAAUUUGCGGUGUAGGGUGCUGCUCCCUUCUCUCGGUGCUGGCUGGCAGUGGAGACAGGUUCGAGGUAGGAGGAGCUCGGGCUGGAGCCCCGUCCUAAUUCCUCAAUUACCAAUGGAUCCCGCCUGUGUUGGUGGUUCUUGCGGCUCGCAAAGCCUUCGGCGGCGAUGUCGCUCCUUUUGUAUUUAUUUUGGUGCCCGUCCUGGUCCUGCUCCGAUUCCUGGCUCGCGUGCAUGUGCCCGUGAUGUGUGCGCGUGCUGAUGGAUAUUACAACCCUUCGUGACGCUGAUUGUUUGCUACCACCGUUGUCUGCUAUUGCUUUUGUCGCUGACUGCUAUUGCUACUUCUGCUCAUUUUUCUGCUAUUUAGUACUAAUACAGUAGAUAGAAGAUGAUCUGCAUUCCCAAAGAAAAUAAAUAGAAGAUAAUCUGUAUGUUUGAAAAUUGUGAACUGAGCCAACUACUUGUUAUCUCUUCUCUAAACUUUCUCUUGAUCAGAUUCUCUUUUGUGCUGCAAAAAUUACUCAAUACACAUAUAAUUAAUGUGUUCAGUAAAACUCAUGGAAAAAUCUAGCUCCUUAUUGAUUCCAUGGUCCCUUUUCCUUACAAUUGUUUCCUUUAUGUGUCUCGCUUCCAAUUGCAGAGAAAAUAUUUUUCAGAAAAGGAAAGUAGGAUUUCAACGCUAUGCGCCCGUGCUCCACACCUGAGGUACGCCAUCGUAUAACAUGAGUACUAGAUUUUAUAUGAUCAUAUCAUGAAUAUCCUUGAAGUGGCACACUCCCUUGCUGAUGUAACUCCGAGCAUGGACUUUUGCUAUUGUAUUAUUGUUUGACAAUCUUGUAUGAAUUACUGGUAGGUACUAACUAUGUGAUUUGUACUAUGUUUUUAGUUUGAUCCAACUGGAAUUCGUGGUGUUCAAGAAUGAUGCCUCAUCGUGUAAACAGGUUCAAUUUAAGUGGGAGCCAUGAAUAAGUUUAAAAAAGUAGGGUUGUAGACUUGUAGUCGAUAUAGAGACAAGAGCUGACCAAUGUGGAGCAGACUGACAAUAUUAAUGGAGAUACCCAGUCUUGCAUGCUUUAUUCUUAGUUUAUGCAACCGUGAUGUUUACAAGAAACUGUCCUACAUUGCAGGUCAGGUUUCAAACUGUUGACAAUAGACGCGUAAAUAGAUAAGAUUAUGUUGAAAUCUUUAUUUUUUUGGCGGAUUGUGUAAGGAAUUAACUUGCUUUAAUGUCGUGCAGCUUCAGGGGCAGAUGGAUAUGUAUGGCUUACUACCUCAUCGCAGAAUGUGGGGCAACCCAGUCGCUUCCUUGAAUACCGUCCCCUGGUUCAGGCCACUAAGGCACAUCCGAUUGGUCAAACAUGAUCGGUGUUCUAAUAUGUUGAGAAUUUCAAUACUAGAUGAUUACCUGGAUCCUUUGAAGAAUAUAUGCUGAUUCUUGGUACUUGGAGGAGAAAGAAGACAGUUAUAUCACUGUUUAGAAAUAUGUAUUCUAUUUUUUUUUCUAAGUGAUGUACUCCUAAUUGAUGAUACUUGCAAUGUAAUGUAACAGAUUGUUCCAUUAAAUCAAUAUAUCAGUUUCAUUUCUACUC